AUUGAACGCUGGCGGCAUGCCUUACACAUGCAAGUCGAACGGCAGCGCGGACUUCGGUCUGGCGGCGAGUGGCGAACGGGUGAGUAAUACAUCGGAACGUACCCUGUUGUGGGGGAUAACUAGUCGAAAGAUUAGCUAAUACCGCAUACGACCUGAGGGUGAAAGUGGGGGACCGCAAGGCCUCACGCAGCAGGAGCGGCCGAUGUCUGAUUAGCUAGUUGGUGGGGUAAAGGCCCACCAAGGCGACGAUCAGUAGCUGGUCUGAGAGGACGAUCAGCCACACUGGGACUGAGAAACGGCCCAGACUCCUACGGGAGGCAGCAGUGGGGAAUUUUGGACAAUGGGGGCAACCCUGAUCCAGCAAUGCCACGUGUGUGAAGAAGGCCUUCGGGUUGUAAAGCACUUUUGUCCGGAAAGAAAUGGCUCUGGUUAAUACCUGGGGUCGAUGACGGUACCGGAAGAAUAAGGACCGGCUAACUACGUGCCAGCCGCCGCCGUAA
rnacentral:rRNA from 1 species